rnacentral:rRNA from 1 species
CCUACGGGAGGCAGCAGUGGGGAAUCUUGCGCAAUGGGCGAAAGCCUGACGCAGCGACGCCGCGUGAGGGAUGAAGGUCUUCGGAUCGUAAACCUCUGUCAGCAGGGAAGAACGGUCACUGUGCUAAUCGGCAGUGCAUUGACGGUACCUGCAAAGGAAGCACCGGCUAACUCCGUGCCAGCAGCCGCGGUAAUACGGAGGGUGCGAGCGUUAAUCGGAAUUACUGGGCGUAAAGCGCUCGUAGGCGGUAUGUCAAGUCAAGGGUGAAAUCCCCGCGCUCAACGUGGGAACUGCCUUUGAAACUGGCAAACUGGAGUGUGUGAGAGGAUAGUGGAAGUCCAGGUGUAGGAGUGAAAUCCGUAGAUAUCUGGAGGAACAUCAGUGGCGAAGGCGACUAUCUGGCACAUAACUGACGCUGAGGAGCGAAAGCGUGGGUAGCAAACAGGAUUAGAUACCCUAGUAGUC